AUGAACGCUGGCGGCUUGCCUAAUACAUGCAAGUCGAGCGAACGGACGAGAAGCUUGCUUCUCUGAUGUUAGCGGCGGACGGGUGAGUAACACGUGGAUAACCUACCUAUAAGACUGGGAUAACUUCGGGAAACCGGAGCUAAUACCGGAUGAUAUUUUGAACCGCAUGGUUCAAAAGUGAAAGACGGUCUUGCUGUCACUUAUAGAUGGAUCCGCGCUGCAUUAGCUAGUUGGUAAGGUAACGGCUUACCAAGGCAACGAUGCAUAGCCGACCUGAGAGGGUGAUCGGCCACACUGGAACUGAGACGCGGUCCAGACUCCUACGGGGGGCAGCAGUAGGGAAUCUUCCGCAAUGGGCGAAAGCCUGACGGAGCAACGCCGCGUGAGUGAUGAAGGUCUUCGGAUCGUAAAACUCUGUUAUUAGGGAAGAACAUAUGUGUAAGUAACUGUGCACAUCUUGACGGUACCUAAUCAGAAAGCCACGGCUAACUACGUG
rnacentral:rRNA from 1 species